UGAGUGCAGGAUUUUGAUGACAUGGAUAAGCGCUUGAAGGAUAUAGAAGAUGAAACUGCUGCUAUUAAAGAGAUGCAAGCCAAGGUCAAGAAGGAGAUGGGAUCUGCUCAGGAUGCAGGUAGUAGUGUAUGUUAUUGAGAGAUAAGCUAAGAUCGAUCAAGGAAUCAUUCAUCAAUAAUAAUGAACUAAUCUUCAAACAAUAAUAACUGGCUUUCAUUCCCUC